UCAGUCUCAAGCCACUUGGUUGUCAUGGAAACAGGCCGGAAUAGAACAGAUGGUCUCCACUAGCCAAAUUCCAAUUAAACAGGGCAGAGAUGGAUAAGGAAGGGAGUGUGAUAUGACGAGGCUGCAGAGAGCUCAGCCCCCAGGAUGGACGGGAAACCCUGGGUCACCGUUCUUGGAGGGGACAUCAGAAUGGAGCACAGGAGGCACCUGCCCAGACUCUUAUCAUCUCAUCCCAUUGUACAGCUAGGG